GCUCAACCGGGGAGGGUCAUUGGAAACUGGGGAACUUGAGUGCAGAAGAGGAGAGUGGAAUUCCACGUGUAGCGGUGAAAUGCGUAGAGAUGUGGAGGAACACCGGUGGCGAAGGCGACUCUCUGGUCUGUAACUGACGCUGAGGCGCGAAAGCGUGGGGAGCGAACAGGGUUAGAUACCCUGGUAGUCCACGCCGUAAACGAUGAGUGCUAAGUGUUAGAGGGUUUCCGCCCUUUAGUGCUGCAGCAAACGCAUUAAGCACUCCGCCUGGGGAGUACGGUCGCAAGACUGAAACUCAAAGGAAUUGACGGGGGCCCGCACAAGCGGUGGAGCAUGUGGUUUAAUUCGAAGCAACGCGAAGAACCUUACCAGGUCUUGACAUCCUCUGGCAACCCUAGAGAUAGGGCUUCCCCUUCGGGGGCAGAGUGACAGGUGGUGCAUGGUUGUCGUCAGCUCGUGUCGUGAGAUGUUGGGUUAAGUCCCGCAACGAGCGCAACCCUUGAUCUUAGUUGCCAGCAUUCAGUUGGGCACUCUAAGGUGACUGCCGGUGACAAACCGGAGGAAGGUGGGGAUGACGUCAAAUCAUCAUGCCCCUUAUGACCUGGGCUACACACGUGCUACAAUGGGCAGAACAAAG
rnacentral:rRNA from 1 species